rnacentral:rRNA from 1 species
UACGAAGGGGGCUAGCGUUGCUCGGAAUGACUGGGCGUAAAGGGCGCGUAGGCGGCGGCCACAGUCAGAUGUGAAAUUCCUGGGCUUAACCUGGGGGCUGCAUUUGAUACGUGGUUGCUUGAGUGGGGAAGAGGGUCGUGGAAUUCCCAGUGGUAGAGGUGAAAUUCGUAGGAUAUUGGGGAAGAACACCGGUGGCGAAAGGCGGGCGACCUGGUCCUUGACUGACGCUGAGGCGCGAAAGCGUGGGGAGCAAACAG